AACCAGAGACGCGAGCUAGCACUACAUCAGAUCACCAUUCCUAGCUCUCUUACGAUCUUGCGUUCUUGCUCUUGCUGUGGUGGGAAAUCAAUCAAUCGCCAAAUGGCUGCCAAGCACGGUCUCUUUGUUGCUCUCAACCUACUCCUCUUCGCCGCCGCCGUGUACGGCUGCGCAGAUAACUGUGAGCCAUCCUAUCCCACUCCACCCGUCGAGCCACCAUCAUCGACCUACGUUCCCGAGCCACCAGCUCCGAUAGCGCCGGCGACCGACGGCCACAGCCAUCGCCCGGCCGGUCGGUGCCCACUGGAUGCGCUCAAGCUCCAGGUGUGCGCAAGUGUCCUGGACGGCCUUGUCAAGAUCAGCCUGCCGGAGGAGCGGGAGAAGUGUUGCCGGCUGCUGGACGGGCUCGUCGACAUCGAUGCUGCCGCCUGCCUCUGCACCGUGCUCAAGACCAACCUCCUCGGCAUUUCCCUCCACGUGCCCAUCGACAUCAGCCUCAGUCUAAACCGGUGCGGCCGCAAGGAUUACCCGCCCGGCUUGACCUGCCCUCGCUAUUAAUUAAUCUCGAUUGUUAAUCAAGGUCCAACCACGUUAUUUAUGUCCAUGCGCACAAGGAGCACACACUUCUCGUCUAGUAUCUCACUUGAUUCAAAAGUUUAUUGCUUGCAGCGGCGACCUAUCUGAGCCGUUGCACGAUGGAAUAAGUUUCUUCUAUAUUUAUUUAUCGCACCUUCAGUUCGUUACAAAUCCCUAUUGCAUUUUGGUAUUUGUUCUCAGGCAUCUAUUGAAUAAGUUAAUUAUGGAGUUUAUAAUUGUAAUAGUAUAUGUCUUUAGUUAAUUUCUUGAUCAAUGCCGAAACGGAUCUUAUUAUCAACAAGAGUGUUCAUCGUUGAAAAAAAGAACUAUCUCCCUUGGGAACUCUGAUCCCUUGGAAAUGAAAGAACUUGAGGAACAAAUCCGGUAAUUGAUGAUUUUGCUAAAAGUUUUCAUCAGAAAACACCUAUGUACCCUCGCUCUCGAGGUGACACCUUAAUACUUUCUGACUUGUACUAUUAACUCAAAUCAAAGAUAGUAGUUUGUCUAUAAAAAAAAUAUGUGUUCUACUUUCGAAAGCCAUCAAUGCUAAACAACACCGCCUCAACAUCCAGAGGUCCAUCUUUAUACUCCAAGGAAGCACUGGCAGUCAAAACAACCAAACUGACUUUCUGACUUGUACUAUUAACUCAAAUCAAACAUAGUGGUUUGUCUAUAAAAAAAUAUGUGUUCUACCUUCGAAAGCCAUCAAUGCUAAACAACACCGCCUCAACAUCCAGAGGUUCAUCUUUAUACUCCAAGGAAGCACUGGCAGUCAAAACAACCAAACUGACCGGGCCUUGGGUGGAUCUUCCAAAAGCUAUAUAUCCAGUCUAAAUAGGGUGAUCUUUGAGUCCAAAUUGAUCAUGUGAUACGGUUUGGUUCGAGGUUUAUUGUACCACUUGACUGGUUUGGUUCGGAUUUAGGAGAGUAAAGCAACUUCAAGAGUUUACUAAAAAAAUCUCCCUCAAAACUAUCUAUCGAGGACUCUACUAAAAAAUUAUUCUCUCAAAAUCAUAUCAUCCCACAGCAGAUCCCUAAUAAUAAAUUCUCCAAUGCUUCAAAACUGGCCACGUCAGCACGUGAACCCCUCUGUUGGGCUCCAACAGCUUACCCCCUCCGGGCGGGACCGUGAGCUACAGGACCGGCUCGCGGCCGUCUCCGAGCUGCAACACCCUUCACCAAUCUUGUAGCCCUAUGAUUCAGCUACAUUUUUUUACUUUGGCUGAUUGCACACUGUAGAAUCCGGUGAGUUUCGUAGCCAAAACACUGAACUCCGUUCAGUUCCACCUAUCACCCCGACCGCUCCAUAGCAACGCCACCACGCGGCCAGCAAUGUCCGGCGACCGCCCUCGUCACCCACUCGAUGAGUAGAUAGACCCGGCAUUGCCAGAGCUCGCACCUGGGCGUGCUCUCGUCCACAUUCAAGCGUCCCGACCCCUGUAACCAGCGCCCCCGACCUCCCUGCUCUCCCCCUCCUCCAUUUUCCUCUCCAUUUGAGCAAGAACGAUCGCACACUGUCACCAGCUCGAUUUGCCUUCCACCAGCCGCCUUCCUCAAACCACCCACAUUCGACGCUCAGUCACCUCCCCAGCUUCUUCCUCGACCCAUCCCGUCGCUCGUCAUCCACUCGCUGGCUAGGGAUUCGAGUUUUUCUGUCCGCCACUGCUGCCACCAAGCCGAGCUCCUGCGCCGGCCGAAUCCACCGUGCUCCAGCCAUCUUCGUUCAAUCCCUCGUGCCUGCAUCUCCUAGACCUCCCUAGCUCCGCCACUGACCCACCUCCGACAAGCUCUGACGAGCUUCGACGACCAGACCGCCGGGAAUCGCGGUUCCCGCGGCCGCCCGUGGCCGUGAGCUGUAGGAAAUUCCGAGGACGAGCAGUUUGGGGGCGAUUGGGGGAGGACCGGACUCGUGCAUAUAUGCGGGGCGACGGAGGUGUUUUUCACAUCCGCGCAUUUUUAUGGGAAGGAUAGGGAAGCUGUUGGAGGUAUAAAAAAUUUCCCCCUAAAUAAGGUUUUGGAGCAAUUUUAAGGGAGCUUUUUGGAGUUGCUCUGAGUUGGUUUAAUUUGGUUUGGAAUUGACUUAUUUUCUAUAUCGUUUGGUUUUUAACCCAUUAGCAGAUUUAUUUCACACCCUAAGGGCCCAACGGCGUGGGCUUCAUCACCGCUGGGCAUCAACCACGACCCGCAUGGGCCACCCAUUUACACAUGCCGAGGCGCACCGUGUGCUACCCGGCCCUUAGCUGUCGUUCUGCCCCUUGGUUCUCCUUGGCAGCGACCAAGAGAGUACAAAAUGGAAGUGCCUUGACCGGGGUGUGUCCAAAAUCAACUAUGCCAUCUGGCCACCCACACCUGUCCCUUGAUGGACGGACAGUAAGACUAGAUGGACCCAUCCAUCAUGGAGAUUGGGUCAACCGAUUGUGUUCCGUUGCACCUUGUAAUAAUGCCUUUUACGGGGAAGGCCUGACGGGCACAUGCACGCGUUGCUACAUAGCAUUGCGCUGAUGUUAGGGCGUCUUGAGCCCCCGAGCCCUCAAGCUCAAUGCCUAGUAGGGGCCCUCAGGGCGGUGUCGUUGAACCAGCUACUGAACCGGUUGGGCUUGGGAUGCUCCUAGCUACGGGCGUGGCCCUGAACCGGUUGGGCUUGGGAUGCUCCUAGCUACGGGCGUGGCCCUGAGUGUCGUCAGCCACCACCCCCAUGCCAUGUGGGGUCUAGGCGCCUGCACGUUUGAUGACGUGUUGCCGAACCACCUUAAGCCACUUGUUCGAGGAACCAUAGUUCUCAUAUCAACGACAGUCACCACAUUUAGCUCGUUGUCGACGUGCACAUAGCCUAUCAUUAAAUGAAUAAGAUGAAAAUAAGAGCACCAUAGUUUAGUUGGCAGGACCGUUCCACCAUACAUGUAAGUUUAUUUUGGUGGCUAUAUAUUGUUUUCAACAAUGAUGGAAUGUACAAAACUUGAUGGUCCAAUUUAUGCUCCUUUUUGGAAAAUUCUAUUAUGUCCCUCUUUUUUUAGCUAGCGUGAAGGUUCAAAAAGGGUCUCUAUUUAGUUUGUGCUGGCCUCUUAGAAAUCUCUAUGGCUGAGCCUGGAAUGUGUUGCUUUGAGAAUAUUAAAUUACGCAACUAUUUGAUCCAGAUCCUAAACUCUAGUCCUAGUUACACAAGCGCAUAUACUUAUCGAAAAAACAACCGCAUACUUGACCUCAACUACCACAACAUGGUCAUAUUUAGAAAGGGAAAACUGAAAAUAUACCUAAGUAACUAAAAGGGAAUAGAGUGGUGUGAUAAUUACUUAUUUGUGAACAAAUAAAGCACUCAACGGUGACAAAUGCCCCCGAGAACACAUGCAUUCUGGUCCGGUGUCAUCUGGACGUCCAGCGCUGCUGGUUGACUUGCAAUUGCGGAGUUGUGGGAACGGCCGGAAGGUGCACGCCGGCGCGUGUCUAGGUUGUACUAAAUAAUUGUGAUUAUAUCAAUUGUACUCCCACCACCACAAGCCCACAAUGCGGUAUCUCUGUGAGUAAUUAACUCCACUUCGUUGAGAUAAUUGUACUUUGUUCGUUAGGAAACAGAGCCGCAAAAUAUCAGGCAUGAAUUAUGCGGAUUUGCUUGCGAUAGAAAUCAUCUGUCACAUGGGUACCUAUCAGAAUAAGAAGAACUGAUGAACAUGAACACAAGUAAUCAAUCGAUCACAUCGCAUAGUCUCAACAUCUAGCAUGCAUUACACAUGAGCUCCAUGCAUGCAUGCAUGGACAUGCUCUUGCAACAUCGAUCAUCAGCUAUAAAUACCACGCGCAACCGACCCCUGCAAACCACCCAGAACCCAGCAGUAGCCCCAGACAACCAUUCCCAGCUUUGUUACAAACUUCCAAUCACGCUGUGGUGGGAAAUCAAUCAAUCGCCAAAUGGCUGCCAAGCACGGUCUCUUUGUUGCUCUCAACCUACUCCUCUUCGCCGCCGCUGUGUACGGCUGUGCAAAUAACUGUGAGCCAUCCUAUCCCACUCCACCCGUCGAGCCACCAUCAUCGACCUACGUUCCCGAGCCACCAGCUCCGAUAGCGCCGGCGACCGACGGCCACAGCCAUCGCCCGGCAGGUCGGUGCCCACUGGAUGCGCUCAAGCUCCAGGUGUGCGCAAGUGUCCUGGACGGCCUUGUCAAGAUCAGCCUGCCGGAGGAGCGGGAGAAGUGUUGCCGGCUGCUGGACGGGCUCGUCGACAUCGAUGCCGCCGCCUGCCUCUGCACCGUGCUCAAGACCAACGUCCUCGGCAUUUCCCUCCACGUGCCCAUCGACAUCAGCCUCAGUCUAAACCGGUGCGGCCGCAAGGAUUGCCCGCCCGGCUUGACCUGCCCUCGCUAUUAAUUAAUCUCGAUUGUUAUUCAAGGUCCAGCCACGUUAUUUAUGUCCAUGCGCACAAGGAGCACACACUUCUCGUCUAGUAUCUCACUUCAUUCAAAAGUUUAUUGCUUGCAGCGGCGAC
rnacentral:lncRNA from 1 species